rnacentral:misc_RNA from 1 species
UUCUUCUUCUUCUUCUUCCUUUCCUCAAGUUUUCUCAUCGCCUUUCUCACAUCCACCUCUUCUCCGAUCGUCAUGUCGUUCAGAGGCCUCCGACGGCAAAACACUUUAUCUGCAAUGGGUGUGAAUGAACACACCAAGAAAACAUUUUCUGAACUACAAAGAAAGAAAAUGUAUCGAUAUGUGAUCUUUAAGGUUGAUGAAAAGAAAAGAGAGGUGGUGGUCGACAAGAUUGGCAAUCCUGCAGAGAGCUAUGAAGAUUUCACUGCUGCUCUGCCCGACAAUGAUUGUCGCUACGCCGUGUAUGAUUUUGACUUCGUGACAUCCGACAACUGUCAGAAGAGCAAGAUAUUUUUCAUAGCAUGGUCUCCAGCUAGCUCACGAAUCCG